rnacentral:tRNA from 1 species
GCGCCUGUAGCUCAAUUGGAUAGAGCGCCGGCCUCCGGAGCCGGAGGUUGGGGGUUCGAGCCCCUCCAGGCGCACCA